rnacentral:rRNA from 1 species
GGAGGAAAGCAGGGGAUCGCAAGACCUUGCGCUUUUGGAGCGGCCGAUGUCUGAUUAGCUAGUUGGUGGGGUAAUGGCUUACCAAGGCUUCGAUCAGUAGCUGGUCUGAGAGGACGACCAGCCACACUGGGACUGAGACACGGCCCAGACUCCUACGGGAGGCAGCAGUGGGGAAUUUUGGACAAUGGGGGAAACCCUGAUCCAGCCAUGCCGCGUGAGUGAAGAAGGCCUUCGGGUUGUAAAGCUCUUUCAGCCGGAACGAAAAGGUCACGGCUAAUACCCGUGACAAAUGACGGUACCGGAAGAAGAAGCACCGGCUAACUACGUGCCAGCAGCCGCGGUAAUACGUAGGGUGCAAGCGUUAAUCGGAAUUACUGGGCGUAAAGCGUGCGCAGGCGGUUUUGUAAGUCAGAUGUGAAAUCCCCGGGCUUAACCUGGGAACUGCGUUUGAAACUACAAAGCUAG